rnacentral:rRNA from 1 species
GAAAAAGAUAUUAAGGGCCAUAGGUGGAUGCCUUGGCUGGUAGAGGCGAUGAAGGACGUAUUAGGCUGCGAUAAGCCUCGGGGAGCUGCCAAAGAGCUUUGAUCCGGGGAUUUCCGAAUGGGGCAACCCAACAUAUCGAGAGGUAUGUUACCCUACGGGGGGCGAACUCAGGGAAGUGAAACAUCUCAGUACCUGAAGGAAUAUAAAUCAAACGAGAUUCCCAAAGUAGCGGCGAGCGAAAUGGGAUUAGGACAAACCGAUUGCUUGCAAUCGGGGUUGCGGACUGCAUACGGCAUUGCGAGUCGAUAGAAGAAUGAGUUGGAAAGCUCGACCAUAGAGGGUGAUAGUCCCGUACUUGAAAUUGACAGACAGCUAGCAGGAUCCAGAGUAGGUCGGGACACGUGUUAUCUUGACUGAAGCCGGGGGGACCACCCUCCAAUCCUAAAUACUACUACCAGACCGAUAGCGAACUAGUACCGUAAGGGAAAGGUGAAAAGAACUGCGGUGAGCAGAGUGAAAUAGAACCUGAAACCUAUGGCUUACAAUCAUUCGGAGCCCUAUUCUUUAUGAAGGGUGACGGACUGCCUUUUGCAUAAUGAGCCUGCGAGUUGUGGUGUCUGGCAAGGUUAACCUCACGGGAAGCCGUAGCGAAAGCGAGUCUUAAUAGGGCGAAUUAGUCAGAUGCUGCAGACCCGAAACUAAGUGAUCUAUCCAUGAGCAGGUUGAAGCUGGUGUAAGAGCCAGUGGAGGACCGAACCGGUGGGUGUUGAAAAACCCUCGGAUGACUUGUGGAUAGGGGUGAAAGGCCAAUCAAACUUAGUGAUAGCUGGUUCUCUCCGAAAUAUAUUUAGGUAUAGCCUCGAGUCGUAACAUGAAGGGGUAGAGCACUGACAGGGCUAGGGCUGCUUACCGCGGUACCAAACCCUUUCAAACUCCGAAUACUUCAUGCGUAAUCUCGGGAGUCAGGCGGUGGGUGAUAAAAUCAAUCGUCAAGAGGGGAACAACCCAGACUAACAGCUAAGGUCCCAAAGUCGUAUCUGAGUGGAAAAAGAUGUGGAGUUGCUGAGACAAUCAGGAAGUUGGCUUAGAAGCAGCCAUCCUUUAAAGAAAGCGUAACAGCUCACUGAUCUAGCGAUUCUGCGCUGAAAAUAUAACGGGGCUAAGAUACGCACCGAAGCUUUAGAUUCGUAUUUAUACGAGUGGUAGGAGAGCGUUCCAAACAGCGUUGAAGGUAUACCGGUGAGGAGUGCUGGAGCGUUUGGAAGUGAGCAUGCAGGCAUGAGUAGCGAUAAAAGCAGUGAGAAUCUGCUUCGCCGUAAACCCAAGGUUUCCUACGCGAUGCUCGUCAUCGUAGGGUUAGUCGGGACCUAAGUCGAGUCCGAAAGGGGUAGACGAUGGCAAGUUGGUUAAUAUUCCAACACCGACAAUUGUUCGUUUGAGUGAUGGGGGGACGCAUAGGGCUAAUCGAGCUCACUGAUGGAAUAGUGGGUCGAAGGACGUAGGCUGAAACAUAGGCAAAUCCGUGUUUCAUUAGGCCGAGAUCUUACAGGCCGAGCAAAAUCUUCGGAUUGCGCUUGGAAUCGAUGAUGCCGUCGUGCCAAGAAAAGCCUCUAAACGAGAACAAUUGUCGCCCGUACCGUAAACCGACACAGGUGGGUGAGAUGAGUAUUCUAAGGCGCGUGGAAGAACCCUGGUUAAGGAACUCUGCAAACUAGCACCGUAUCUUCGGUAUAAGGUGUGCCCUAAGUAUGUGAAGGAGCUAGCCUCUGGAGCAGAACCGGGUCGCAGCAAAGUGUCCCUCCCGACUGUUUACCAAAAACACAGCACUCUGCUAACUCGUAAGAGGAUGUAUAGGGUGUGACGCCUGCCCGGUGCUCGAAUGUUAAAAGGAUGUGUCAGCGCAAGCGAAGCAUUGAAUUGAAGCACGAGUAAACGGCGGCCGUAACUAUAACGGUCCUAAGGUAGCGAAAUUCCUUGUCGGUUAAAUACCGACCUGCAUGAAUGGCGUAACGAGAUGGGAGCUGUCUCAACCAGGGAUCCAGUGAAAUUGUAGUGGAGGUGAAAAUUCCUCCUACCCGCGGAAAGACGGAAAGACCCCGUGCACCUUUACUAUAGCUUGACAUUGCUAUUGGGAUACUUUUGUGCAGGAUAGGUGGGAGCUGUUGAUNNAUGGAGGACACUGUCUGGUGGGUAGUUUGACUGGGGCGGUCGCCUCCUAAAAAGUAACGGAGGCUUACAAAGUUCGGCUCAGAAGGGUUGGAAAUCCUUCGUAGAGUAUAAUGGCAUAAGCCGGACUGACUGUAAGACAGACAAGUCGAGCAGAGUCGAAAGACGGUCAUAGUGAUCCGGUGGUUCUGUGUGGAAGGGCCAUCGCUCAAAGGAUAAAAGGUACGCCGGGGAUAACAGGCUGAUCUCCCCCAAGAGCUCACAUCGACGGGGAGGUUUGGCACCUCGAUGUCGGCUCAUCGCAUCCUGGGGCUGGAGCAGGUCCCAAGGGUAUGGCUGUUCGCCAUUUAAAGCGGUACGCGAGCUGGGUUCAGAACGUCGUGAGACAGUUCGGUCCCUAUCUUCCGUGGGCGCAGGAGAGUUGAGGAGAGCUGACCCUAGUACGAGAGGACCGGGUUGGACGUACCACUGGUGUACCAGUUGUUCUGCCAAGAGCAUCGCUGGGUAGCUACGCACGGAUGUGAUAACCGCUGAAAGCAUCUAAGCGGGAAGCCAACUCCAAGAUGAACUCUCCCUGAAGUUCCCUUGAAGACUACAAGGUUAAUAGGCCAGGUGUGUAAGAGCAGUAAUGCUUUCAGCUGACUGGUACUAAUAGAACGUUCGUCUUUAUCUA